GCAUUGGUGGUUCAGUGGUAGAAUCCUCGCCUGCCACGCGUGGGGCCCGGGUUCGAUUCCCGGCCAAUGCA
rfam:Ciona savignyi cont_35020, whole genome shotgun sequence.